rnacentral:rRNA from 1 species
AGGACGAACGCUGGCGGCGUGCUUAACACAUGCAAGUCGAGCGGAAAGGCCCUUCGGGGUACUCGAGCGGCGAACGGGUGAGUAACACGUGAGCAACCUGCCCUUAGCUCCGGGAUAGCUCCGGGAAACCGGAAUUAAUACCGGAUACGACCACGGCCGACAUCUGCUGUGGUGGAAAGGAUUCCGGCUAAGGAUGGGCUCGCGGCCUAUCAGCUAGUUGGUGGAGUAGCGGCCCACCAAGGCGACGACGGGUAGCCGGCCUGAGAGGGCGACCGGCCACACUGGGACUGAGACACGGCCCAGACUCCUACGGGAGGCAGCAGUGGGGAAUAUUGCGCAAUGGGCGAAAGCCUGACGCAGCGACGCCGCGUGGGGGAUGAAGGCCUUCGGGUUGUAAACCCCUUUCAGCAGGGACGAAGCGAAAGUGACGGUACCUGCAGAAGAAGCGCCGGCUAACUACGCGCCAGCAGCCGC